rnacentral:rRNA from 1 species
CACGUAGUUAGCCGGGGCUUCUUGGUCGGGUACCGUCCGCAGCUCUCGCGAACCGUGUUUCUUCCCCGCUGACAGAGCUUUACGCGCCGAAACGCUUCUUCACUCACGCGGCGUCGCUGCAUCAGGGUUUCCCCCAUUGUGCAAUAUUCCCCACUGCUGCCUCCCGUAGGAGUUUGGGCCGUGUCUCAGUCCCAAUGUGGCCGUCCGCCCUCUCAGGCCGGCUACUGAUCGUCGCCUUGGUGGGCCGUUACCCCGCCAACCAGCUAAUCAGACGCGGGUCCAUCCCGUACCACCGGAGUUUUCAAGAAAGGAACAUGCGUCCCCUUCUGUUAUGCGGUAUUAGCACCUGUUUCCAGGUGUUAUCCCCCGGUACGGGGCAGGUUCCCCACGCGUUACUCACCCGUCCGCCACUAAGGCCCGCGCCUUCCGGGUCUGGUAAACCAUCCCCUUCCGCCGCCUGGCCCCCGUUCGACUUGCAUGUGUUAGGCACGCCGCCAGCGUUCAUCCUGAGCCAGGAUCAAAACUCU